rnacentral:lncRNA from 1 species
GCCGUUUCGGUUGACUUCGCCUGUGGAAACCGAAUUCCCCCUCCAUGGUUUCCCCAGGAUAUGAGUUGGGGGCCUCACCUCGCCUAUAAGGGUCAGGCGAGCUUUCUGGAUGCUCGAGGGACCUUUCGGCCUGCGCAGCCGGAGCAGCUUGUCCCAAUGCCCUGCCAUUUCUGUGAGGGCCCACGAGGCCUGGAGGAGCCUCGGAGCCCCCGCAGGCCCUCGCGUCACUGCCUCAAGAGGGUGCUCGGAGCCCUGCUCGGGAGCUGGUCCCCAACGAGGUGUGGAACCCCUUCUUGCUGGAACUCCACGGAGAGACUGGGUAUCAAGGCCAUUCAGUGGAAAAGAACAGUCUCUUCAGCAAGUGGUGCUGGAACAACUGGAUAUCCACAUACAAAUGAAUGAAGUUAGAUCUCUUCCUCACAUCAUACAGAAAAAUCAGCCUCAAAUGGAAGAAAUAUCUAAAUGAAGCCGAACACUUGAUAAAAAGUUCAUCAGCGUAAAUAAGAAGAAUCCCCUCCAUUACAUAC